GGAGUCUGCAACCCGACUCCGUGAAGCUGGAUUCGCUAGUAAUCGCGCAUCAGCCAUGGCGCGGUGAAUACGUUCCCGGGCCUUGUACACACCGCCCGUCAAGCCAUGGAAGCCGGGGCGCUUGAAGUGCGUUGCCGCAAGGCGCGCCCUAGAGCGAAACCGGUGACUGGGGCUAAGUCGUAACAAGGUAGC
rnacentral:rRNA from 1 species